rnacentral:tRNA from 1 species
AAAAUGGAGGCAUGUAAAUUACUCGUUUAAGCGUAUAACGGACUGAAUUAGAAUUUUAUCACACCAGAAGUGGGUUCCUAGGUCUCUGUUUCAGGAUUCCUGAGUUACACACGUAUAAACCCAGGAUUUCAGGAGAUACCCGGUUAAGAAUCCGGUCGGGGAGGUAGGCUGGCCCUUGACAUGGAUAAGUCACAAAUUAGUGGCUUAGGACUCCAGGAAGAUAAAAUUUUCCCCAUUUAUCUAGUGAUUGACAAUGCAUGAAUACUUUAAAAGCUCGAACAACCGUUCCUGGGUGGGCUCGAACCACCAACCUUUCGGUUAACAGCCGAACGCGCUAACCGACUACGCCACAGAGACAGGUACUGUCAGUCAGUUCUACUGGGCGCUAUAGGAAGGGCGCACGCACGAAACUUCCUCCGUCCCUUGCAUCCUCAGGGCCCGCCCGGCAGGACGACUGAGCAAGGCCUUGGAAGACCGGAGAGAUUGGAGUGGUAAGUCGCGCUGGUCACGUUGGACACCUGCGCAUUGGGAGAUUCUGGAGCCAGAAGGAUAGCCGAAUGGCCUUGGCCCGCCCUGCCCCUCGCCUGCUUCAGAAACCCCCGGAAACGCCCCGGUUGAGACCCCGGCCCGAGCCGCCUGGGGGCCCUAGGGAGGCUGAACGCCCGGUGGCUCCCGGGAUGGCUCUUCCCGUUCUUUGCGCCGACUUCACCCAGUGAGGGAGCCUGUGCCCUCCCUGCCCAGUCGCUUUUGGGGCCGCUGCGGAGCUUCCGCUGCCAUCUUCGGAUCCUGUGUUCCGCACGGGGGCUCCACCAGAGCAGGGAUCGUGGUGAGGGUGGCUCGUGGGUCCCCCUCGUGGGGAGCAGGGUCUGGCACUCACCAGGGCGCAGGACUAGGACUUGUCGAAUGAAUCCAUCCUUUUAGCUUUUAGUCCUUUGAAGAGCCUUGAGAAUGGAAAUCAUGAGAGAUUUUUCCAUGGGGAAGUUCCUUUUACAAAGCAUUUAUUUACGUUGACUUCUUGGCACCCCGCGGGGCGGCAACGGGCAGGGCCUCCAGUGCACCUUCUGCGCCGUGGAGCCGCGGGGGCUCAGCUGGGCGGUGGUCGGGUCCUGAGGCCGGAGGGCGGGAGCAGGGGAAGGGAAAAGCAAAAGCGGUGAAAGAAGCCGGGGAGCGGUGGACCAGACGUCCAGACCUCCUGAAAGGCUGGCGGGGAGGCACAGGCGGGAUCUUCCGGAGAAAUCCUACAAACUCCCGUGAAUGCUGUGGUGAAAAGCAGGAGCUGCCAGGGCAAGAUGGAUCGCACCUGUAAUCCCAGCACUUCAGAAGGCUGGGCGGACCACUUGAGCCCAGGAGUUGGAGCCCAGCCUGAGCAGAAUGGUGAAACCGCUACGAAAAAAGAAAAAGAAAGGAAAGAGAAAGAAAAGAAAAGAAAAAAAAAGAGAAAAAACUAGCCGGGUGUGGUGGCGUGUGGUUGUCCUACUCGGGAGCCUGAGAUGGGAAGAUCGCGCCACUUCUCCAGACUGGACGGUACAGCGAGACUUGUCUUAGGGAGGGGGGGAAAAAAACAACAAAAAAAACAGAGGCUAAGAGGUAACUCCGAGGAUGACAGAAAACACCAGAGUUUUUAAGAGAUGUUAGAAGCCCUGGGAGCACUGAACAAACCAGAAAGCUCCCGACCCUUGAUCCCUGAGCUCCACCUAGCAAGUACAGCGGCAGCUAACCUGGGAGAACACCCCAACCAACAGAGACUGAAAUUCGCCUCCCAAGAGAGUAAGUGGAUAGUUCUAAGCUGUCCCCAAACAUGGCCUCACAAACGAAAACUAACCGUUGCGAACGGAAACAACUGACCGGACAGAACACAGCCACAAAACACGAGCCCGCACCCUGAAUUACAAAAACACUUACGGCUCACCUACUAUUCGCACCACAAAAGCACCAG